CAGCAGCCGCGGUAAUACGUAGGUGGCAAGCGUUAUCCGGAAUUAUUGGGCGUAAAGGGCUCGCAGGCGGUUUCUUAAGUCUGAUGUGAAAGCCCCCGGCUCAACCGGGGAGGGUCAUUGGAAGCUGGGAAACUUGAGUGCAGAAGAGGAGAGUGGAAUUCCACGUGUAGCGGUGAAAUGCGUAGAGAUGUGGAGGAACACCAGUGGCGAAGGCGACUCUCUGGUCUGUAACUGACGCUGAGGAGCGAAAGCGUGGGGAGCGAACAGGAUUAGAUACCCCGGUAGUCCCUGUCUCUUAUAC
rnacentral:rRNA from 1 species